UACGAAGGGGGCUAGCGUUGUUCGGAUUAACUGGGCGUAAAGGGUGCGUAGGCGGGGUUUUAAGUCAGGGGUGAAAUGCCGAGGCUCAACUUCGGAACUGCCUUUGAUACUGGAACUCUUGAGUCCGGGAGAGGUGAGUGGAACUGCGAGUGUAGAGGUGAAAUUCGUAGAUAUUCGCAAGAACACCAGUGGCGAAGGCGGCUCACUGGCCCGGAACUGACGCUGAGGAGCGAAAGCGUGGGGAGCGAACAGG
rnacentral:rRNA from 1 species